GAGGCUUUAAGUUAAAUUGAAACUACUGGUCUUCAAAAUCAGAGAUGGGGAGCCAUGCCUUG
rnacentral:tRNA from 1 species